AAAGGCCCAGUGUUUGUGGUCUUCUUGUGCUUGCUGCUGAGCUUCGGAAAUCUUGAGGUGUGACCAGUUUUCAGCCUUCAAAACCAAGAUGAACUGCCCCUGAGAAGGGUGGUCAGAGGGGAAACAUGUUUAAGCUCUCUCUCCUGAGCCGGGGACACGGGAAGUUGGUCCAGAACAAACAGAAGUUGGAGGUCUAUUUUGAACCAGAGGAUUACUUGAACUGGAAGUCCCCAGAAGACUAUGUCCUGGUCAGCAAACCUCAGAAUGAGGAGGAUGCCAACCAGCAUUCUUGGAACCUCUUUCUUCCUAAGACUUUUAGCACACGAAAGGGUGCCCUGAUCCUCUACUCAGAAGGGCUAGCCAUCUCAGCAUGGACCCACAAAGAGAGGAGAAAGGGCUCCUGCUGCCUCAAAGGUCACAAGAAGGGCCUGGAUCUUGAACUUCGUACCCUUCAGGAUCUCAAAGAAGCUGUCCUGGCAUAUGGAAGGAAGCAGAUGGAGCAGGACAGAGCCUGGCAACCGUACCUGUACUUCCGAAGUCAGCCAGACAGCCAGGCCCAAAGAAAGAUCCAACCUGGGUAUUCAGCUAAGAGAUACCUCCGAGGCCUCUUGCGGACUUGGCCCCCUGACACCAUGUACAGGUUCCAAUGUGCAGGACACAUCAAGGAUUCUGUGCUGCUUCAGGAAAGUCAACUUAAUGUGCCAAAGAGUCUCAGGCCACAACAGGAUCUUUCAGGUGUGCCCCCAAAAUACCAUCUCCUGCCUGUCUUCCCUCCAUUUUGGAUUCAACAAGAAAAACCUUUUGAACAAGGUACAUGUUGCUUU
rnacentral:lncRNA from 1 species